CAGUCGGACCCGAGGGGGUACCCGAGGGGGAAGCCACCAGGAGGGCCGGGUUCCCACGCCUGCCUGCUCGCUCCGGGCUCUCUAGCUUCCCUCGCGCCCGCGCGCAAGCAUCUUAAGGGUGGCGGGGCUCCCCAUCUCUCCCGCGGUGGCCCCCGAAACUGAAAGUUGCAUGGCAGCGGCUGUCAGCGCGCACCGAGGCGCAGGAAACAGGAAGCCGCGCGCACUGCGGCCACGGCCCCUCCCGGCCUCGCACAACAAAACCUUCCAGGGAAUCGGGAGGGGGCGGCGGGGCCGGGGCCCCCAGGUCGCCGCCCGCGGGAAAGUAACUUCACACCCGCGCGAUCCCGCCCGGGGCGCAGCGCCGCCGGCUCCGCGCAGACAAAAGGAGCGAGACGCGCACCGGGCCGGGCGCCCCACGCGGCAGCGCGCACUGAGCGGGCAGCCGAGCAGCGCGCCCCUGUGCGCCCCUACGCGCCCUGGUCUUGGGACCCGAGGACCUGGCGCACGACUCGCUUACCUGAUGAUCAAAGGCUGCCUUUCCGUCCAGCGCCCGGGCAGGUUCGGCCACCUCGGCCGGAGCAGAUCCACAGUGAGGUAAUUGACCAAGGAAGGGCUGGAGCCUCCACGGCGGCCCGGCGUCUUCGCCGCGUGUGUAUUUUCUGCCUUUUGGACUUGAGAUGCAAAUUAAAAAAAAAAAAAAAAAAAGGAGGGGGAGCUGGCGGAGGGAAGAGGGCGGGAGAGCAGAAGAGGAGAGAGAAAAAUAAAGGGGGGCGGUGAGGGUGAUGAAAUUGGGGGGUUAAGGUCUUUAGGGAUUACUCAUUGGAAAGAAAAAGAGACAGGAGAGAGAGAGGAAAAGGGAGAGAAAAAAAAGCACCCCCUAAGACGUGCGAACAGCAAUCUCGCCUCCAUUCAGCCAUUUGAAUGUCAAGGGCGAGGGUCAAGAGACCUGUUUCCAACAGGGUUUCACGUUCAGAACCAGAAGGGAAAAGGAAGGGGGGCGGCGGGAGGGGGCAUCUGGUUGCCAAGGAGAAAUCGGCUUUGUUUUCGUUUCCCCUUAGCUACUGGGUGAGGAGGGGCGGGGUGCGGAGAGGAGGAGGGGGGCGCUCGGCAGGGGUGCUGGGGGGUGGAGAAAAUUAAUACCCAAACAGCCAAGAAGUACCGAGGGGGCAGAUUUCGCCUCGUCAAUGGGAGAGGCAGCGGCGACAAACAAGUCUUGGGCUAGGGACGCUGGUGAGGGCAGGCUCCCCUCCCCCCCUCACCACCAGCACCCCCCCCUUUUUGGUUAUCUCCCCGCCCGGCGUCCCACCACUGACUCAGACGGAGGGGGUGGGGAGGAGGGAGAGGAGGAGGAGGAGGAACUCGCGGGGGCGCAGCCGGCAGGAGCAGGAGAGCGGGAGGCGAGAGCGCGCGGCGGUGGAGAGCCCCUCGAUCAAUUUUCAUGCAAGAAUCAUUAUCGGUAAAUUGGAAAGCUGGCUGCCUGACAGCAGAUUUGUCUCCCCUAAUGAAAGCGAAAGGGAAGGGGCGCAGCGGCGGGCGGCUCCUUCCGUCUGCGCCGCGUCCUCCUGGAGCUCCCGGCUGCGCGCCGCGGUGACGAGAGUUCCACUUGCGACCUGCCCGUGCGCGGCCUCAGAGCCUUACGGAUCAGACCCGCUGCCCAGGGCUCCAGGCGGAUGCUCCCACUUCCGACUGCAGGGUGCUCCCCUCGGCCCGGGAGCCGGCCGUUUGCAAACAGUGGGCGACUGCGGGCGCCGCCGGGGCCCCCUCUGGCUGCCCAACUCCGCGCUCUGGCCGUCGGCCCGCCCUCGCUCCUCCCCACCCACGUCUGACAGCUGCGGGAGCCCGGAGCACGACCUCCCCCCCGCGACCGUGCCCCGGGGAGGCCGGGGCCGCCCUUUGUGCAGCCCGCAGCGGGCUGCGGAGACCGCGCCCGGGAGAGCUAAGGCCGGCGGUUGGCCUCUCUCUUUCCUUUCCUCCCCCCACGCCCUACCCCUUAAAAAAUCCCUGUUGCAAGUGUAAUCAAAUGCUUGAUACCAUCUCCCACACUCUCCUGCACCCGGGCAUUAUCAGAUCCGGGAAGGCAUGCUUCCAGGCAAACAGACCUAAUAAAUGCUAUUACUGGGACUCUGCAAGCCCCGGCUGCACCAUA